UGGGAGGGCAGCUUAACCUGUUUGUCUGCUUGUUGCUUGUUGGGCUGUGCAAGCAGUGAGGCUGGAUUGUUGCCUCAGGAGUAAGUUACAUAAGAGACUCUACAUUACAUUACAUUACAGCUCUACAAUGCACCAGACGGACCCAUCUGGAUUCUUUCGGGGCUCUUAGCCCUAGAAAUAGCAUCAUUUCUUCAAACUGGUGAGUCCUCCUGUCUAAAAUCAGGAUGCAGAGAGUUGAUGCACGGCAUGGCACAGGAUGCUGGGCAAGGCUGGCAGGCCCGGGAGAGCCUGUGGCCAGCCUGGGUCCAGGAAGUGGGCAGCUGCCACAGAGGGGCCUCCGAGGCUAGCUGCCUCCUAACUUCCUCACGGCACACCAUUCUGCCGUCCUGAGUCUUCUCAAGGUUGGAAGGUGCCCAGAUCCAGGGAGAUGGUGCUGGCUCUUUGGUGGCUGUGGAGUGUCCAGACAGAUGAGCUGGAAUCCUUCAGUUUCUCUGCCUCUCCUGUCAAGUUGGGGUAGCACUGCUUGGACUCUUGCCCCGGCUGCAUUGACCAAGCCUUGAUGUUGCCUUGACCAAGCCUUGAUGUUGCCUUCUUUGCCAAACCACUGGCCACGAUGUUGCUGGCACAGCAGCCCAAAGGCAGCUGCUUGUCCAUCUCAGCCUGACCCAGCCUUCAUGCGGGCUCCAUCUCAGCCAUUGUAAAGCAAGCUCCUAGUUCUAGUUCUCCCCCACAAAUUUUAUUGCUAAAUAAACAAUUAAGCUACCCCUUUAAAUAGUAAAAAUAUGUAUAUACAAACAAGAUCUAAACCCAUCACAAGAAUGUAUCAACCAAGCCAGGCACAGCGGCAUGCACCUGUGGUCCCAGCUAUUCAGGAGGCUGAGGCUGAAGGAUCAGUUAUGCCCAGGUUGGAAUCCAGCCUGGGCAACAUAGUUGUAUUAGUCCAUUGUUAUGCUGCUGAUAAAGACACACCUGAGACUGGGAAGAAAAAGAGACUUAAUUGGAUUCACAGUUCCACGUGGCUGGGAAGGCCUCAGAAUCAUGGUGGAGGACAAAAGGCACACCAUACAUGGCGGCAGCAAGAAAGAAUGAGGAAGAAAUAAAAGCAGAAGCCCCUGAUAAACCCAUCAGAUCUCAUGAGACUUACUCACCAUCACAAGAAUAGCAUGGAAACGAUCGACCCCCAUGAUUCAGUUACCUCCCCCUGAGUUGCUCCCACAACAUGUGGGAAUUCUGAGAGAUACAAUUGAAGUUGAGAUUUGAAUGGGGACACAGCCAAAUCUUAUCAUUCUUUCCCUGGCCCCUCCAAAUCUUAUGUCCUCACAUUUCAAAACCAAUCAUGCCUUCUCAACACUCCCCCAAAGUCUUAACUCAUUUCAGCAUUAACCCAAAAGUCCACAGUCCAAAGUCUCAUCUGAGACAAGGCAUGGUGGAAGUUUCUUCCACCUAUGGGCCUGUAAAAUCAAAAGCAAGCUAGUUCCUUCCUAGAUACAAUAGGGGUACAGGUAUUGGGUAAAUACAGCUGUUCCAAAUGGGAGAAAUUGGCCAAAACAAAGGGGUUACAGGGCCCAUGCAAGUCCAAAAUCCAGCGGGAAUGUCAAAUUUUAAAGCUCCAAAAUGAUGUCCUUUGACUCCAGGUCUCACAUCCAGGUCAUGCUGAUGCAAGAGGUAGGUUCCCAUGGUCUUGGGCAGCUCUGCCCCUGUGGCUUUUCAGGGUACAGCCUCCAUCCCAGCUGCUUUCAUGGGUUGGCGUUGAGUGUCUGUGGCUUUUCCAGGCACACAGUGCAAGCUGUUUGUGGAUCUACCAUUCUGGGGUCUGGUGGACAAUGGCCCUCUUCUCAUAGCUCCACUAGCCAGUGCCCCAGUAAGGACUCUGUGUGAGGGCUCCAACCCCACAUUUCCCUUCUGCACUGCCCUGGCAGAGGUUCUCCAUGAGGGCCCCACCCCUGCAGCAAACUUUUGCCUGGGCAUCCAGGUGUUUCCACACAUCUUCUGUAAUCUAGGUGGAGGUUCCCAAACCUCAGUUCUUGACUUCUGUGCACCCUCAUGCUCAACACCACGUGGAAGCUACCAAGGCUUGGGGCUUCCACCCUCUGAAGCCACAGCCUGAGCUGUAUGUCGGCCCCUUUCAGUCAUGGCUGGAGCAUCUGGAACACAGGGCACCAAGUCCCUAGGCUGCACACAGCACAGGGACCCUGGGCCUGGCCCACAAAACCACUUUUGCCUCCUGGGCCUCUGGACCUGUGAUGGGAGGGGCUGCCAUGAAGGUCUGUGACAUGGCCUGGAGACAUUUUCCCCAUGGUCUUGGGGAUUAACAUUAGGCUCCUUGCUACUUAUGAAAUUUCUGCAGCCGGCUUGAAUUUCUCCCCAGAAGAUGGGUUUUUCUUUUCUACUGCAUCGUCAGGCUGCAGAUGUUCUGAACUUUGAUGCUCUGCUUCCCUUUUAAAAGGGAAUGCUUUUAACAGCACCCAGGUCACAGCUUGAAUGAUUUGCUGCUUAGAAAUUUCUUCCACCCAAUACCCUAAAUCAUCUCUCUCAAGUUCAAAGUUCCACAAAUCUCUAGGGCAGAAGCAAAAUGCUCCCUGUCUCUUUGCUAAAACAUAACAAAGUCACCUUUACUCCAGUUCCCAACAAGCUCCUCAUCUCCUUCUGAGACCACCUCAGCCUGGACCUUAUUGUCCAUAUUGCUAUCAGGCUUUUGGUCAAAGCCAUUCAACGAGUCUCUAGGAAGUUCCAAACUUUCCCACAUUUUCCUGUCUUCCUCAGAGCGCUCCAAACUGUUCCAAAAUCUGCCUGUUACCCAGUUCCAAAAUUGCUUCCACAUUUUGGUGUAUCUUUUCAGCAGCACCCCACUCUACUGGUACCAAUUUACUGCAUUAGUCUGUAUUCACACUGCUGAGAAAGACAUACCUGAAACUGGGAAGAAAAAGAGGUUUAAUUGGACUUACAGUUCCACAUGACUGGGGAGGCCUCUGAAUCAUGGAGGGAGGCAAAAGGCACUUCUUACAUGGUGGCAGCAAGAGAGAAUGAGGAAGAAGCAAAAGCAGAUAAAACUAUUAGAUCUCGUGAGACUUAUUCACUAUCAUGAGAAUAGCAUGGAAAAGACCGGCCCCCGUGAUUCAAUGACCUCCCCCUGGGUCCCUCCCACAACACAUGGGAAUUCUGGGAGAUACAAUUGAAGUUGAGAUUUGAAUGGGGACACAGCCAAACCAUAUCAGUAGUGUCCCCUGUCUCUCAAAAAAGGAAAGAAUUAAUCAACCAAAGGAGAAAUCUGAGUGGCUGUGGCUAGUGCUCUGGGCUGGGCAUGGACAGUAGUCCCAGGGAAGCCUCCCUGUCACGAAUUAUGGUGGCCAAUUAACCAUGUCAGCCGUAGUUUCAUCAUAACCAGAGUUUCAAAGAGAGAAUGAAUCAUAAAACUUUAAAGCUUAGAAAAGAUCUCAGAAAUUAAGACCCGUAUCUUAGAGUGGAGCUUCUCAAAUGUCAUCGUGCAUGCGAUCCCCUGGGCAUCUCGUUAGGGAGAGUUCUGAGUCGGAGGACAGGGGCAGGGCAGGGGGCAGGGAUCAGCAUCUCUAACCAGCUCCUGGGGAGGCCGCUGUGGGGCCAUGCUGGGAUGGCAAGGCCUCAGAGGACCCAGGGCUUCCAGUGUAGACUCAGCUUCACCCCGCAGAAUAAGAGGAAACAUGUUAGAACUCAUUUUUCUGUAUUUUCAGGUAUAGAGACCCUUGGGGAGGGUCCAACCCUGCUGCGUUUAGCGUAGCUUGUCAUGGAGAGGUUCCAGUGUGUUUACACCUUUGAACCAUCACAACGCCCAGCAUGAACUCUUCAAACUUUUGUAUUCAUGGCUCCAAAUGUUGAAAUUUUAAAAAUGACUUUAAGGCUUUUUAUUUAUUUUUAAUUUUUUUCUACAACUUUAAAGCAAAACUCAAGUAUGAGCUCAGAAGUAUUUUUCUCUUUGAAAAUGUUUAAAAAAAAAUGCUGCAGGUAAAUGAAGCUGUUUCUUUGGGACCAGCCCAUGGAGUGCUGGAGUAGCUGUGAGGUGUGCGCCAGGCCAGGGGACUCACCCCGUUUGUGCUUCCAUGUUCUUGUAAAAUGUGGAUUGUAGUGGAGCCUACCCCAGAGGGCUGCUGAGAAAAUUAAAUUAGUUACUGCAUGUAACACUUAGAAAAUACAAACAUGAAGCGCGUUUAAUACCGAAUGCCCUCAUUGAACGUUCAUUGAUAAUGUUAUUGCUGUUGCUGCUUCUCACUCCACCUCUCUCACUGGGGCCUGGGAGCGGGGAUGCCUGCAGGUGUGUUGGAAUCCGUCAGUGCAAUGCCAGGGGCACGCAGGCAGAAGCGGGUGGGACUCGUCCUGGUAGUGGGGGCGAGUUCAAGGUAACGCAGCAGACAAGGAGAAAUGGAUUUUCAUUGACCGGUAAGUUUUAAAUGGAAAACAAUCAUUCAAAAGAGGCAAUUUGAGGACACAGUGAGCCUUCG
rnacentral:lncRNA from 10 species